UGGGGAAUUUUGGACAAUGGGCGCAAGCCUGAUCCAGCCAUGCCGCGUGCAGGAUGAAGGCCUUCGGGUUGUAAACUACUUUUGUACGGAACGAAAAGACUCUGGUUAAUACCUGGGGUCCAUGACGGUACCGUAAGAAUAAGCACCGGCUAACUACGUGCCAGCAGCCGCGGUAAUACGUAGGGUGCGAGCGUUAAUCGGAAUUACUGGGCGUAAAGCGUGCGCAGGCGGUUAUAUAAGACAGAUGUGAAAUCCCCGGGCUCAACCUGGGACCUGCAUUUGUGACUGUAUAGCUAGAGUACGGUAGAGGGUGAUGGAAUUCCUCGUGUAACAGUGAAAUGCGUAGAUAUGCGGAGGAACACCGAUGGCGAAGGCAAUCCCCUGGACCUGUACUGACGCUCAUGCACGAAAGCGUGGGGAGCAAACA
rnacentral:rRNA from 1 species